rnacentral:sRNA from 1 species
GAGAACGUUGCUUCAGCAACGGCCCGCAGGGCGAGCCACGCAGUGGCGAGUCAUCCUCUAUCACCGACCA